AUCUCUUCGGGGACAUUUGAUAAAAUUGGAACAAUACAAAGAAGAUUAGCAUGGCCUUUGCACAAGGAUGUCACACAAAUCAUUCAAUGUUUAGUUACUUGG
rfam:Cucumis sativus cultivar 9930 chromosome 1, whole genome shotgun sequence.